UGUGAAGGAAAGGUGAAAAGGACCCCGGGAGGGGAGUGAAAGAGAACCUGAAACCUUGUGCUUACAAGCACUCAAAGCACGUUAAAGUGUGAUGAGGUACUUUUUGUAGAACGGUCCGGCGAGUUAUAGUAACGAGCAAGCUUAAGGUAUUCAGUACCGGAGGCGAAGCGAGAGCGAGUCUGAAUAGGGCGCAUAAAGUUCGUUGCCAUAGACCCGAAACCGGGUGACCUAACCAUGAGCAGGCUGAAGUGAGAGUAAAAUCUCAUGGAGGGCCGAACGCACGUUCGUUGCAAUGACCGGCGAUGACUUGUGGUUAGCGGAGAAAUUCCAAUCGAACUCGGAGAUAGCUGGUUCUCCCCGAAAUAGCUUUAGGGCUAGCGUUAUCUUAGAUUACCGGAGGUAAAGCACUGAAUGGGCUAGGGGGCGAUAAGCUUACUGAACCCUAUCAAACUCUGAAUGCCGGAUAAUUGAUGGAUAGCAGUCAGACAGUGUGAGAUAAGUUUCAUUGUCAAAAGGGAAACAGCCCAGACCCACAGCUAAGGUCCCAAAUGUAUGCUAAGUGGAAAACGAUGUGGAGUUGCGAAAACAACCAGGAUGUUGGCUUAGAAGCAGCCACUCAUUAAAAGAGUGCGUAAUAGCUCACUGGUCGAGUGACUCUGCGCGGAAAAUGUAACGGGGCUAAGUAUACAACCGAAGCUUGGGAUUGUCUAAAGACAGUGGUAGGGGAGCGUCGUGUAUGGGGUGAAGUCGCAUCGGAAGGAGCGGUGGACUGUACACGAGUGAGAAUGCCGGAAUGAGUAGCGAGAAUUAUGUGGGAAUCAUAAUGGCCGAAAAUCUAAGGUUUCUUGGGGAAGGUUCGUCCGCCCAAGGUAAGCCGGGAGCUAAGGCGAGGCCGCAAGGCGUAGUCGAUGCACAUACGGUAGAAAUUCCGUAGCCACCGAACCUUAAACCGGAAGGACACUUUCAGAUAGCAGAACCCAGCCGUUGGUAGAGCUGGGCGAAAGGGACUGAAAUAUAGUAGGGAAGUCUGCGAUGCUGAGAGGCGAGAAAAGCUCCGGUGUAUGCUAAGGUGCCCGUACCGCAAACCGACACAGGUAGAUGAGGAGAGAAUCCUAAGGCCAACGGGAGAAGGGUUGUUAAGGAACUCGGCAAAUUGACCCCGUAACUUCGGAAGAAGGGGAGCCCCGAAAGGGGCCGCAGUGAAUAGGCCCAAGCAACUGUUUACCAAAAACACAGGUUUAUGCUAAAUCGAAAGAUGACGUAUAUGAGCUGACGCCUGCCCGGUGCCGGAAGGUUAAGAGGAGAUGUCAACCUUAAGGUGAAGCAUUGAAUUGAAGCCCCGGUAAACGGCGGCCGUAACUAUAACGGUCCUAAGGUAGCGAAAUUCCUUGUCAGGUAAGUUCUGACCCGCACGAAUGGCGUAAUGAUUUGGGCACUGUCUCAACAGCCCGCCCGGCGAAAUUGUAGUACUGGUGAAGAUGCCAGUUACCCGCAACUAGACGGGAAGACCCCAUGGAGCUUUACUGCAGUUUAAUACUGGGAAUCGGUAAUGCAUGUACAGGAUAGGUGGGAGACUUGGAAGCAUAGUCGUCAGGCUAUGUGGAGUCACCGGUGGGAUACCACUCUUGUAUUGCUGGUUUCCUAACCUGCGGCCGUGAAUCCGGUCGGGGGACACUGUUAGACGGGCAGUUUGACUGGGGCGGUCGCCUCCAAAAGAGUAACGGAGGCGCUCAAAGGUUCGUUCAGCACGGACGGAAAUCGUGCAUUGAGUGUAAACGCAUAAACGAGCCUAACUGCGAGACCGACGGGUCGAGCAGUAACGAAAGUUGGAGUUAGUGAUCCGGUGGUAUGUGAGUGGAAAUGCCAUCGCUCAACGGAUAAAAGCUACCCUGGGGAUAACAGGCUGAUCUCCCCCAAGAGUCCACAUCGACGGGGAGGUUUGGCACCUCGAUGUCGGCUCAUCGCAUCCUGGGGCUGUAUUCGGUCCCAAGGGUUUGGCUGUUCGCCAAUUAAAGCGG
rnacentral:rRNA from 1 species